GCAAGUCGAACGAAGUAGCAAUACUUAGUGGCAGACGGGUGAGUAACAUGUGGGUAUCUACCCUUUGGCCUGGAAUAACACGAGGAAACUUGUGCUAAUACCGGAUAAGUCUUUACGGAGAAAGCUUUAUGCACCAUUGGAUGAGCCCGCACUUGAUUAGUUUGUUGGUAGGGUAAUGGCCUACCAAGACUAUGAUCAAUAGCUGAUUUGAGAGGAUGAUCAGCCACAUUGGGACUGAGACACGGCCCAAACUCCUACGGGAGGCAGCAGUGGGGAAUCUUGCACAAUGGAGGAAACUCUGAUGCAGCGAUGCCGCGUGAGUGAAGAAGGCCUUUGGGUUGUAAAGCUCUUUCGUCGGGGAAGAAAAUGACUGCACCCGAAUAAGAAGGUCCGGCUAACUUCGUGCCAGCAGCCGCGGUAAUACGAAGGGACCUAGCGUAGUUCGGAAUUACUGGGCUUAAAGAGUUCGUAGGUGGUUGAAAAAGUUGGUGGUGAAAUCCCAGAGCUUAACUCUGGAACUGCCAUCAAAACUUUUCAGCUAGAGUAUGAUAGAGGAAAGCAGAAUUUCUAGUGUAGAGGUGA
rnacentral:rRNA from 1 species